UACGAAGGGGGCUAGCGUUGUUCGGAAUCACUGGGCGUAAAGGGCGCGUAGGCGGCUUUAUAAGUCGGGGGUGAAAGCCUGUGGCUCAACCUGGGAAUUGCGAUGGAGACUGCAAGGCUAGAAUCUGGCAGAGGGGGGUAGAAUUCCAGGUGUAGCGGUGAAAUGCGUAGAUAUCUGGAGGAAUACCGGGUGGCGAAGGCGGCAUCCUGGACCGGCAUUGACGCUGAGGAG
rnacentral:rRNA from 1 species